CUAUACAUGCAAGUCGACGAGAUCUUCGGAUCUAGUGGCGCACGGGUGCGUAACGCGUGGGAAUCUGCCCAUGGGUUCGGAAUAACAUCGGGAAACUGAUGCUAAUACCGGAUGAUGACGUAAGUCCAAAGAUUUAUCGCCCAGGGAUGAGCCCGCGUAGGAUUAGCUAGUUGGUGGGGUAAAGGCUCACCAAGGCGACGAUCCUUAGCUGGUCUGAGAGGAUGAUCAGCCACACUGGGACUGAGACACGGCCCAGACUCCUACGGGAGGCAGCAGUAGGGAAUAUUGGACAAUGGGGGCAACCCUGAUCCAGCAAUGCCGCGUGAGUGAUGAAGGCCUUAGGGUUGUAAAGCUCUUUUACCCGGGAUGAUAAUGACAGUACCGGGAGAAUAAGCUCCGGCUAACUCCGUGCCAGCAGCCGCGGUAAUACGGAGGGAGCUAGCGUUGUUCGGAAUUACUGGGCGUAAAGCGCACGUAGGCGGCGAUCCCAAGUCAGGGGUGAAAGCCCGGGGCUCAACCCGGGAAUAGC
rnacentral:rRNA from 1 species